CUCCAGCAACGGUCCGGAGAGCCAGGCACGGCGUCCAGUCCAGCUCCAAGGCCGGAUCCUUCCUCGGCGCCGAUGCCCAGUCCGGGCACGGCAUUCUACCCAUGGCCUGACCCGUGGUCUGGGCGGGGGCAAAGACCUGCACCAGAGCCGACACUUGUAAGGGCUCAACAGUGGAACUGCCCUGCACAUAUCAACAUCCAAGUUAUCAUGUAGUCUCAGAACCAAACUGGUAUAUCCAAGAGAAAUGUAAUGAGGCGCCUAAAAUCCUGAGCUCGGUCCAGAGUAUGCAGGUUGUGCUGAGUACCUUGGGACUAAAGAGAAAGACUGCACCCUGAGAAUCACAGACCUGAGAGAUUUUCAGCUGAGUACAAGUUCAGAUUUAAAACACAGUAUGCAGAAUGGGGGUACAGCUUCCCUGUAAUAACUCUGACUGACACAGGUAAUAUAUAAUAUCUAAUUCUAAUAAUUCAUUAGAAUCAUUCAGAGCUGCAGGUGAAGGUGUCUUCCUCCACAGAGGAAUAGAAGAGAACACUGACCUGUAGCACCACCUGUCUUCUGACUGACAACCCCAACCUCACCUACAUCUGGUACAGCAACGGACAACAUCUCCAUGACCCUACUUCCCAACAAUACUCCUGUAAUACUCUAGUGGUCGGGUGUUACUCUACAGACAGUUACUCCUGUGCUGUAAAAGAACAUGAGGAUUUUCUCAUGAGGAGUCUGAACUCACCUAUAAUAAUCAUCUUAAGUAUCAAUCAUUAAGGCCUGUGGACCAAUAGUAGAACAUGUGGGGAAAACAGACAAACCGGUGAACUCUUGGAUAGUAACACUAGUAGGAACUAUACAGUAUAAUAUACAAGGUAGAAAAUGGAUGAUGGUAUGUUAUCUAGUUAUUCCAUUUUAGAAUAAGACUGUAAUGUAACAACAUGAAAAAGUCCAGGGUUCUGAAUACUUCCUGAAUGCUCUGUGUGUGUCUAUAUAAUUUAUUCAUUUUAAAUGAACCAGUCCAAUACAUCUUAAACACUUGAAAUAGUCUCAUUAUCGUUUGAGGAAAUUAUAAGAUUUUUUUUCAGUUUUCAUUUUUUUUCAGUUGUUCAUGGUCAGAGCUGUUUGAAUGUGACUUACACCAAGAGGAGUAUCUGUGCCUUGAAGGGGUCAACAGUGGACAUUACCUGCACGUAUAGACAUCCCAGCUGGCAUAACGUCACAGAAGUAUCCUGGUUCAACAAAUGGGAGACUGGAGUUACUACAGAUCUAAUCCAGGACCCAGAGUAUGCAGGUCGUGUGAAGUACCAACCAACUACAGACAAAGACUCCACCCUGAGAAUCACAGACCUGAGAGAGAGUGACUCUGCUGAAUAUAAGUUUAGAUUUACAACAACGGAGGUAAAAUGGGGAUACAGCUUCCCUGGAAUAACUCUGAUUGUCACAGACCUGCAGGUGAAGGAGACUCCUGGCACAGAGGAAGGGAAGGUGACACUGACCUGUAGCUCCACCUGUAUUCUAACUGACAACCCCACCUACAUCUGGUACAAGAACGGACAACUUCUCACCAACCCAAACACCCAAGAUAACUACCUCUACUUAGACCAAAUCAGCAGUGGGGACGCAGGCAGCUACUACUGUAGUGUUAAAGGAUACAAGAAUAUCCGUUCUCCUGUUACAUUCUUUGGGGAGCCAAUGUCUUUUAAGAAUGCAGUUGUAGGAAUCAUAGUGGUUAUUCUAAUUCUCAUACUCUGUCUCUUUGGGUUCAUGUGGUUCAGGUGAGUGAGAUGAAUUUAUCCCUUUUCACAUUCUGUGGUUUAAUCGAUCAAAAUAUGUAUAUUGCUCUAUUAAUUGAUGAAUUAUUUCACAAAACAGGAAGAAGGCCUCCAAAUCCACCUCUGACACAAGAGACAGAAGAGACGCAGCAGAGAACGGACAGAGAGACUCUAAUCCAGUGUAUGACAACAUCUCAGGCAUGAACUUGUCCCCUAUUGCAGCACAGAGAGUGAUCACAGACGAGCAGGAUGACAUUACCUACGCAAGCAUCCAACACAGAAACCAGGAAGUGCCUCUGGACUCCACCGUCCCACCGUCUCACCCCCAGAAACAGGACGAGGAUUUCCAGUACACUACUGUGAAAUUCAACAGCCCCAGUGCUGCUCAAUAGACAUUGGGAGGGAUUCAAUCCAAUCAUAGGUUAUAGACAUUGGGAGGGAUUCAAUCCAAUCAUAGGUUAUAGACAUUGGGAGGGAUUCAAUCCAAUCAUAGGU